AUUGAACGCUGGCGGCAGGCUUAACACAUGCAAGUCGAACGAGUGGCGGACGGGUGAGUAAUGCUUGGGAAUCUAGCUUAUGGAGGGGGAUAACUACGGGAAACUGUAGCUAAUACCGCGUACCAUAGGAUGAGCCCAAGGGGGAUUAGGUAGUUGGUGCGGUAACGGCUUACCAAGCCGACGAUCCCUAGCGGGUCUGAGAGGAUGACGAGCCACCCGGGAACUGGGACACGGCCCAGACUCCGACGGGAGGCAGCAGUGGGGAAAAUUGCGCAAUGGGGGCAACCUGACGCAGCCAUGCCGCGUGAAUGAAGAAGGCCUUCGGGUUGUAAAGUUCUUUCAGUAGGUAGGCGUUACCUACAGAAGAAGCACCGGCUAACUCCGUGCCAGCCGCCGCGGUAAUAC
rnacentral:rRNA from 1 species